CAGCCGCCGCGGUAAUACGUAGGGUGCAAGCGUUGUCCGGAUUUAUUGGGCGUAAAGAGCUCGUAGGCGGUUAGUCACGUCGGAUGUGAAAACCCGGAGCUUAACUCCGGGCCUGCAUUCGAUACGGGCUGACUAGAGUGUUGUAGGGGAGACUGGAACUCCUGGUGUAGCGGUGAAAUGCGCAGAUAUCAGGAAGAACACCGGUGGCGAAGGCGGGUCUCUGGGCAACUACUGACGCUGAGGAGCGAAAGCGUGGGGAGCAAACAGGAUUAGAUACCCUGGUAGUCCACGCCGUAAACGGUGGGCGCUAGGUGUGGGGAACAUUCCACGUUCUCCGUGCCGCAGCUAACGCAUUAAGCGCCCCGCCUGGGGAGUACGGCCGCAAGGCUAAAACUCAAAGGAAUUGACGG
rnacentral:rRNA from 1 species